AGGGGUAGAAUUUAAAGGUAAAACUUGAUGACUAUAAUAUCAUAAAAGUUGUAGUUCAAUUCUACAAUACCUCUA
rnacentral:tRNA from 19 species